rnacentral:rRNA from 1 species
UAGUCCACGCCGUAAACGAUGAAUACUAGGUGUAGGGGGUAUCGACCCCCUCUGUGCCGCAGCUAACGCAAUAAGUAUUCCGCCUGGGGAGUACGACCGCAAGGUUGAAACUCAAAGGAAUUGACGGGUCCCCGCACAAGCAGCGGAGCAUGUUGUUUAAUUCGAAGCAACGCGAAGAACCCUUACCGAGGGCUUGACAUCCACAGAAUCUUCUAGAGAUAGAGGAGUGCCGUUACGGGAACUGUGAGACAGGUGGUGCAUGGUUGUCGUCAGCUCGUGUCGUGAGAUGUUGGGUUAAGUCCCGCAACGAGCGCAACCCCUAUGUUUAGUUGCCAGCAUUAAGUUGGGGACUCUAGACAGACUGCCGGUGAUAAACCGGAGGAAGGUGGGGACGACGUCAAAUCAUCAUGCUCCUUAUGUCCUGGGCUACAAACGUGCUACAAUGGCCAUUACAGAGGGCAGCCACGUCGCAAGGCGGAGCGAAACCCGAAAGGUGGUCUCAGUUCGGAGUUGGGGC